AGUGGGGAAUCUUGCGCAAUGGCCGAAAGGCUGACGCAGCGACGCCGCGUGUGGGAUGACGGCCUUCGGGUUGUAAACCACUGUCGGAAGGGACGAAUGGCCCGCAAGGGCAGUGACGGUACCUUCAAAGGAAGCACCGGCUAACUCCGUGCCAGCAGCCGCGGUAAUACGGAGGGUGCGAGCGUUGUCCGGAAUCACUGGGCGUAAAGGGCGCGUAGGCGGCCCGGUAAGUAGGGGGUGAAAUCUUGCGGCUUAACCGCAAGGCUGCCUUCUAGACUGCCAGGCUUGAGCACAGUAGAGGCAGGUGGAAUUCCCGGUGUAGCGGUGGAAUGCGUAGAGAUCGGGAAGAACAUCAGUGGCGAAGGCGGCCUGCUGGACUGUAGCUGACGCUGAGGCGCGACAGCGUGGGGAGCAAACAGGAUUAGAUACCCUGGUAGUCCACGCCGUAAACGAUGGGCACUAGGCGUCGGGGGGAGCGACCCUCCCGGUGCCGUCGCUAACGCAGUAAGUGCCCCGCCUGGGGAGUACGGCCGCAAGGCUGA
rnacentral:rRNA from 1 species